rnacentral:rRNA from 1 species
CAAUAGCGUAUAUUAACGUUGUUGCAGUUAAAAAGCUCGUAGUUGGAUUUCUGGAGGGAGCGUCGGCCCGUAUUUACGAGUGCGUGACGUCUCUGUCCAUCCUUGCGGGAAGGCACGGCAUUGAUUUGUUGUGUCGGAUCGCAUCAUUUACUGUGAAAAAAUUAGAGUGUUCAAAGCAGGCUUUCGCUUGAAUACAUUAGCAUGGAAUAAUAAGAUAGGACUUUGGUGCUAUUUUGUUGGUUGAGCCUAAGGUAAUGAUUAAUAGGGAUAGUUGGGGGCACCUGUAUUGCGUUGUCAGAGGUGAAAUUCUUGGAUUUACGCAAGACAAACAGCUGCGAAAGCGUCUGCCAAGGAUGUUUUCAUUA